UGGCUCAGGAUGAACGCUGGCGGCGCGCUAACACAUGCAAGUCGAACGGUUAAAGCACCUCCGGGUGUGCAUAAAGUGGCGAACGGCUGAGUAACACGUGGGCAACCUGCCCCCCGCACCGGGAUAGCCUCGGGAAACCGUGGGUAAUACCGGAUACUCCGCCACCCCCGCAUGGGGGAGGCGGGAAAGCACAUACGGCGGGGGAUGGGCCCGCGGCCUGUUAGCUCGUUGGCGGGGUAACGGCCCACCAAGGCGAUUAUGGGUAGCCGGGUUGAGAGACCGACCGGCCAGAUUGGGACUGAGACACGGCCCAGACUCCUACGGGAGGCAGCAGUGGGGAAUCUUGCACAAUGGGCGAAAGCCUGAUGCAAGCGACGCCGCGUGCGGGACGAAGGCCCUCGGGUUGUAAACCGCUUUCAGCAGGGACGAGGCGAGAGUGACGGUACCUGCAGAAGAAGCCCCGGCUAACUACGUGCCAGCAGCUGC
rnacentral:rRNA from 1 species